UACGGGGGGGGCAAGCGUUGUUCGGAAUUACUGGGCGUAAAGGGCGCGUAGGCGGCCUGCUAAGUCGGAUGUGAAAUCCCUCGGCUCAACCGAGGAACUGCAUCCGAUACUGGCGGGCUUGAAUCCGGGAGAGGGAUGUGGAAUUCCAGGUGUAGCGGUGAAAUGCGUAGAUAUCUGGAGGAACACCGGUGGCGAAGGCGGCAUCCUGGACCAACACUGACGCUGAGGAGCGAAAGCCAGGGGAGCAAACGGG
rnacentral:rRNA from 1 species